rnacentral:rRNA from 1 species
UGGGGAAUAUUGCACAAUGGGCGCAAGCCUGAUGCAGCCAUGCCGCGUGUGUGAAGAAGGCCUUCGGGUUGUAAAGCACUUUCAGCGAGGAGGAAGGUGGUGAGCUUAAUACGCUCAUCAAUUGACGUUACUCGCAGAAGAAGCACCGGCUAACUCCGUGCCAGCAGCCGCGGUAAUACGGAGGGUGCAAGCGUUAAUCGGAAUUACUGGGCGUAAAGCGCACGCAGGCGGUUUGUUAAGUCAGAUGUGAAAUCCCCGGGCUCAACCUGGGAACUGCAUUUGAAACUGGCAAGCUAGAGUCUCGUAGAGGGGGGUAGAAUUCCAGGUGUAGCGGUGAAAUGCGUAGAGAUCUGGAGGAAUACCGGUGGCGAAGGCGGCCCCCCUGGACGAAGACUGACGCUCAGGUGCGAAAAGCGUGGGGCAGCAAACAGGAUUAGAUACCCUGGUAGUCCAGCGCUGUAAACGAUGUCGAUUUGGAGGUUGUGCCCUUGAGGCGUGGCUUCCGGAGCUAACGCGUUAAAUCGACCGCCUGGGGAGUACGGCCGCAAGGUUAAAACUUAAAGGAAUUGACGGGGUC